AAAAAACACCCACACCCCUUGCCCCAUCCAACCACGACCGCAAGCGCCCUCAUGGCUCCGUUCCCCCGUGACCACCGCAUCGCGCCGCCCCAAAGACCAACCCUAGCACGCUGCCGCAGAAGCCCAGCCCAGAGCGCCACGCACGCUCGCUGAUUCACGCCGCCAGAUGAGCCCAAGCGAGUUCUCCGCACCACCGGAGCAUCUCCGUUCCAAACUUAGGAUCCCCGCCGCCACGCAGGUUUCGGAUCUGGCCGUGUUCCCAGAUGCUGUGCUGAGGUCACCGACCGGCCGGCUCAGAUCCACGCCACCUCUAUCGUUGACAAGACACCCUCAUAUGGAGACCUAGGAGUUGGGCUCCGUUUUCCGCCGCCCCUACAGAAGCAGCUCGACGGCGCUGAGGCUCCUUUAUAGGAUGGGCUGGUGGAGUAGCGUCAGUCCAAGGAGCAUGGCGCUCGACGUGUACACUAUAGUCCGGGCGUUAUUCUUGAUGGAAUACUGCUUUCCGAUGCAAUGAUGGCUGGAUGCAGCGAGGAGCGCAAUCCCAUUGGUUCAUUACUUUAUUGACUAGGAGUGCGAUGGUUUCCUGGCCUGGUCCCCAAUUCUAAGUUUACCUCCUCCGUUAUCCAUGGAACAGAUGCUAUACCCUCCACGGGAGAUCCUUGAUGGUGCUCUAGGGUCAAGUUUAACCCACAACCGUUGAAAUGCAUGGAUGAGAUUUAUUCUAUCAUCAUGGGGAAGAUGGUUUUUAUUAUUAACGUAGAGAAGUACAAGGUUCAGGACUUCAGGUUAUCCGUGGGAGGUCCCAGAUAAACAACUUGAAGUUAUAGUUAUGAACAAGCUAAAAAGGUUUGCUGCAUCCCUGUAUAUAAAAACAGUAUGUUUUCUGCCGCAUACAAAAUUCGUUCUCUUUAAAGGACUUAAGGUUGACUUAGGAUAAGAAGUAAUUAAAGCUAGGUAAACUAGGCAGAACUUCGAACAUCAGUUCAGUCUAUACCUUGGCUUAUAGUGGAAUAUUAGUUGACGUGUUAAGCUGCUUGUUACACCAGUCACUUUGGGAUUCUUCUUUGGUGUGUGUCCUUGCCUUCAGAAAAUACAUAUGAUCCAGAAUAAGGUAAUUUUCAGCUAUCUGGGAUUACAAGUCCGCAAUCGUUCUUCUUUCCUUUAUUGACCGUUCCACUGAUUAAUUUCUAUUGCGUAUCUGAAUUUCAUGCAAAGUUGUUGCAUAGAUUACCAUGAUCGCAAGUUAACAGCCCUGCAUUCCACAAAGUCGAUAAGAUGUAGCAUACCGACAAUGUAAAUAUUCAGGGAGGGCAGUACAUCAUUUGGAAAGCAAAAGAACAAACUUAGGUCAAUGUGGUACUCUUAAAUAUAUUUCUGCAAAUAUCACAUAGUUUACUGAACGGAUUUUCCACACUUUUUUUUAAUGUUUGAAGUAUGUAAUGGCCAUGGGAUGUUAAGAUCUUGCUAAUAUGUAUGGACGAGGAUCCAAAGGCAAGGGCUUACCGUAAAAUACACACACUUGAAUGUCAUAAGUAGAAGCUGCUUCUAUUCCAAUUUAACCCACAAAAUGGAAUGUCACUUCCAUACAGCUAUUCCGGAAAAGGCUCCUUUGCAACCUUUGUCUUCAAGAAAUAUUGUGGGAUAACACGACUACAAAAUAAAUAUGUAUCUCAUUUAAAAUAUCAUUAUACAUCAGAUAGUUAAUAAGAGAGAAAUUGACCCAUAGUUUUAAAAACCGGACCGGUGACCGAACCGGCGAGGCUCUCGGUUCAGGUUUUUACCGGUCGAACCACUGGUUUACCGGUUCACUGGCUGGUUUUUUAAGAUAUAAAAUGGUAUACUUUUUGUUCAUAAAUGCUGAAAUAAACAUUUAAAUAUGUACAAAAAUGAAUUCAAGCAAAAGCAAAGCAUAUAUCAUUAAGAAUUUAAGAUGCAUGUAGCAGGCUAGCUGCUAGCAGCGUCCAGGUCUGGCUCCAGCCAUAGUUGACGCAUGUACACUGUAAUGUACAGGAGCAAGCCAACAAGUGAACAAACAGGUAAAAAUGAAAAUAUACUUCCAAGUUCCAAGGUUCCAGAAUUUAAACAAGGAACAUAAUCUGAUAAUCGUCUGAUAUAACAAGGUUCUCAUACAUGCAACAGAUGCAAGAAAUAAACUUUCAAAGUCUCAAGUUCGAGAAACAUGGCGCCAAACUCAACGGUAUUCGAAGGUCCAAUCUGUCACACUGCCACGAUUCUCUUCAUAAAAGGAAUCAUCUUCAUCUCCGUUAUGUUCAUCUACUCGGCCUGCAUCAGUGUGAUCUUCCUCAUCACCUCCUCCAGUAUGUUCAUUUUCUUGAGAAGCAUUCAUAUCAUUUUCAUAAUCUUCAUCAAUCCAGCGAGCCUCGUCUACACAAGUUCACAAUUUUGUGUGAUAAAUAUAAGAACUAAUAGACAUAAAUCAGAAAUGACAAGUAUAUAAGAGAAACAUUACCAUUCAUGGCAAUGGCAUUGCAAAUCUCUUUGUCAUUUGGCACCAAACCUUUCCGAUAUCUCUCAAUUUCUUCCACAUUUAAUACUUGGGGAUCAUCUUCAAGAAUCCAAUCUUCAGCAAACUUGCCAAUGUCCUCCAAACAAAUUGGGUCAUAGUUUCUUUUGGAGAGUUGGGACCUACACAUGGAAUGGAAAGAUGCAACCAUAUAAAAAUAGAAAAUAAACAAGGGAAUACAUAAGAAAGUAGAUGUAAUAGAGCAAGAAUGAAGUACUUUUGUUCCAGCCUAGAGUUGCAUUGAACAUAAGCUAUAUCAUUCAUCACUUGAUGCUCAAGUCUGUUUCUCUUUUUGGAAUGUAUGUGUUCAAACAAACUCCAAUUUCUCUCACAACCAGAAGCACUACAAGUUUGGCUUAAGACACGAAUAGCAAGCUUUUGCAAAUUUGGAGCACUACAUCCAUAAGUCAACCACCAUUCAUCUAGAGCAAAGAAAAGAUGCAUAUUAGCACACCAUAAUUCUGAAGUUAUAAAAAUUAAUAUAAAUGAGCAAAGGAAAUAAAGUGGCAUACCAGGAAGCAUUGUAUCUCUAUCAGCAAUGGCUGUCACUCGGCCAAAAUCUCCUUCCGCACCUCUGAAAAUCCUCAUUUCUUUAGUCAAAGCCUUGCGCAAAGCUGGAUCUUUUGCUGCAUAUCUCUCGAUAACAUCAAUAACCCCAGAAGUAGUGGUGUGGUACUUUGACAUAAGCUCUUUAUCAUAUUGGUUGGUUGGGUUAAACCAAAAGCCAGCUGCGUGCAGAUUUUUGUUUAGGUGCUUAUCCCACCUCUCCUCUAUAGCUUUGAGUACAGGUUGCUGGAUAGCUCUCUUUUUUUUCUGAAACCUCUUCUCAAUCUCCUCUACUGCGCAAUGUAAUGCUCCAAAUACAUAUCCCAUAGCUGGCCUUUCAUCACUAUCAACAAUUCUGAGCACACGAACUAAAGGUUCCGAAAAGUUACAAAUAGAAGCACAAUCUUUCCAAAAUUUUUGAUCCAAUACAAGGUCAACAAAAUUUCUUGCUUUUGCUUCUUUUGCACAUGGGGCUGAUGUCCACUCUUUUGAUAUAACCAUGGUACGAAGAGCAUCUUUUUGCUUGUGUAUACUUUGCAAUGCAACAAAAUUAGUAGCAAACCGAGUGGGUGCUGGACGAAGUAUCUCAUGUCCAUCAGUGAAUUGCCGCAUAAGAUACAGUGGGUUGCAAUGGUUGUACAAGUAUCUAGUGAUUUUAGAUGCAUGGUCUACGGUUUCUUUCACUAAAUCAAGCUUUCCCAAAUCAGUCAAGAUCAAAUUCAAACAAUGAGCAGCACAAGGAGACCAAUAAAGCGAAGGAAACUCAGCCUCUAAUUUCUUUCCAGCUAGUACCAUAUUUGAAGCAUUAUCAGUCACGAAAUGCACUACAUUUUCGACUCCAACAAAGCGCACAACAUCGCUGAAUAGUUUGAACAAAAAAUCACCAGUUUUGGAACUAGCAGUGGCAUCCACAGAUUUGAGAAAGAUAAUACCUUUUGGACAGUACACCAAAAAGUUGACGAGUGUUCGUUUCUUCCUAUCAGUCCAACCAUCAGCCAUAAUAGUGCAGCCACUCUCCUUCCAUGAAUUCCGAUAGCUUUCAGCAAACAUCUUAGUUGCUUCAACAUUUUUUGUUAGCAAAGGGCCACGCAUUCUGUACAUGCUUGGCCCUUUAUAACCGCUACCAAUGCUAGAAAUUGCAUCAAUCAUAGGCUGAUAGUAUCUAGAAGUAGUUGCAUUGAAAGGAAUAGAUGCAUCAAGAAACCAUUUAUUUAUAAUCAAAUCAACUCUUUCUAGAGCUUCUUUAGAUUGCAACACACUCUUUAUGGUUUGUUGAUCACCUGGUUGGCCUCUAGAUAAAAAGAAUCUGUCAACUCCCUGGUUCGUUGUUGUCUUGCUUGAUGCAUUAGAUUUACUCUUUUUCCCUCGAGUGACUCGAUUGGCAGCGGCAACCUGCUGAGGUGUUUCUUCCCGAUCAGCACCACCUCUAACACGAGCUGUAUCUUCAUCAGCCUUCCUCUUCUUCUCAUUAAAAUUCUCCACACUUUGUUGCAUUUCAUGUCUAACCUCCGCACUAACAUGGGUGCAUUGCUUCACUUCACCCUUUUCUCCAGCCAAAUGAAGCUUCAGUCGAUGAAUGCCACCACCUUUGAGCACCUCAUUGCAAUACAUGCAGCGGAUCCACUUCUUCACCUUACCAUUUUCUUCAAUUUCAAUUUCCAAUCCAUGCGCCCACGCUGGAUCAGUUUUAUUUCGGCAUCUCUGUUGCACAGUCCGCACAUGCGAUGACUGGUUCUCUAGUGAUGCUCCUGAGGCGGAUGAAUCCAUUUACACAAUUACACUGCAGUAUCAAACAAAUAUAACUUCAAAUUUAAAAAUAGGAAACGGAUUCAUAUAAUUCUAUAACUAGAAGUACGAUAAGAAAUCUGAUUCAUAUAAAUCUAUCAACAUCAAAUUCAAACAAAUAAGCUAAUCCAGUAAAUCUAUAAGUAAAUACGAGGUACAGAGUACAUACAUACAUGGGUACACUGGUACAGAGUACAGACUACACACUACAGAACGGAAGCAUAAAGGCAUGAUGUAUAACCGCGUACACGAACUGCCAGAACAGCAAUAACAAGUGCUAACUGCUGCCAUCAGUUUGCUUCAAAUUAAAAGAUGAAUGGCGACCUACUGACCUGCGGACGGAGUGCAGAGCUGAGGAGAGGAGUACGGCCGCACCGGACGGGAUCACGGGAACAGGACGAAGACAGGGAGGAGUGAAGACUGUGGAGGACGAUCUUCUUCCUCUACUGCUGGCGGUCGGCGUCGUGGGAGGCCGGUCAAGAGGCGGCCAUGGCCAUGGCGUCGCCGCGUCUGCCUCCUGGCGGCGGCGGCACAAAGGAGAUGAAUCGACACUGACAGACACGAAGCGACAGAAAACCUAAGAAAAGCCACGUUUUCCACCUUUUCCACUCUUGCCCUUCUAUUUUUCACACAAAAAUAAGUCAAACAAGGGUAUUUCUGGAAACGGCACUGAACCGUCCGGCUCAGCCUAAAUCGUCCGGUUCAGCGGUUCAGGCGAAAACCGGCCGGUUCGAACGGUUUUUCCCGGGUCGCUGGCGGGGGCGGUCCUGUGCGCUUAACAAACCAGCAAGGCCACCGGUUCCGGUUUUUUCCGGUUCAACCGCCGGUCCGGUCCGGUUUUUAAAACUAUGAAUUGACCAAGAAAUUUCCAAUCAUUUCAAACGCAGUGGCCAAAAUAUACUGAAGUUAGAGUGACACGUUCAUGCUUCUAAUGAAGAUUUACGUAAUAUCACACCGAUAUCUCACCAAGCUGCUAAAAUAUCUUAUCACACUCAUUGUAAAGUAUUUCAUCAGGUAUACUUGAUAGUAGUGCAAGCCGAAACAAAAUACAUAGAUCAGUUGUGAAAUGGUUUUCAUACUGGAUAUAGAAGUUAGAACACAGUGGAUCUUUUUGAAUAAUAGGAAAUAGGCCUGUGUGUUGCCCGGGGCCAUACAUAUUCUUGCUUAUACAACUGGGUAGAGAUUUCAUGUAAAUGCAAAAUUCAUCAAGCAAAGUGGUGAGGCUUGCCAAGCAACAUAAAUGUAUUAAUUUCACUGAGAGAUAAGAAACUAUAGAUUAAAUUGACACAACUUGUAGCAGAAUAGCAUAAGAGCACUAUCCUCUCAUUUUUCUCAUCCACCUCAAAAUCCCCAUCACCUUUCAGCAACUCUUCGACGGCACAGGCCAAAUUGUAAUGUGCGGGUACUUACCUUAUGAUCAAUCCUGGCACGACCAACUCCACAAACAGUUUAUGGAGCACAACAUAGAACAAUUCAGUGGGCUCUUGCGUCGCUAGACUCUACACACAGAACUGAAGUAAAGUUGCAUUGAACAUAAGUUGCAAUUUUCAGUUAGAAGAAAACAUGGUCUUAUACUGAACUUUACUGAAGAAUUUGAUGUUUUUCAGUUAACCUUCAGGUGGUAUACCAUAGUGACCAUGCUCAUUGCUCAAUUAGCAAAGUAAGAAUGGAAUAAUGAACCGACACGUACCUUCAGUUUAUCAGUGGUCCACGGGAGACAUUGUGCAAGCGGGUUGCGCAAUCUCUCCUCUAGCAGCAACCUCCUUAUCAUCUCCACAAAAUUUCCUUCCUUAGUUUGUUCACUCACCAGCUAUAUGCAAUUUCUGAACCCACUCUCCAAAACAUAUACAGCGAGAUGAACAAUUUUUCUUUUGUUGUUGUGGAUACCUGACUACCUGAGCGCAGACUGAAAGGAUGUUGCCUCACCUUCUUGCUCCAGCUACUCUCUGAUGACCCAAUGCUCUGUGCCAAAACAUUAACAAAACAAUUCACCCAAAAAACAUCUCUCAUAAUAAUUCUGAAUUUCGUCAAAUUUGACUAUUCCUAAUGCGCAGCUUACGUUGCAUCUCCUCAGAUGACGCUCGUCUCCCGGACUGCUGCUGCUCCUGUUGGGGUGGGGGAAGUCGGCGACGGAGUAGGAGUUCUUGGACGACGACGCGAGGGAGGAGUACGACGCCAUGUCCAUCUCAUUGGCCUUCCGGGCGACGACGACGCCGAUGCCGCCUGCUUCGGCAUCCUCCUUGUCCCUGCGCCGCCUCUGCUCUGAGCUCGGGGUUGCCGCCGCGGGAUAAGAACAGGAGCCGCUCGAACGUGUCCAAAAGUACCUGACGCGGUUCUCGCCGGGCUCCCGGAGGCCGGCCAUGGCUUUCUGGAGCGUCACGCCCCACGCCGCCCUCUUCCACGAGGCAUGCCCAUUUUUCUCCGCUGCUGCGUUGUCACCUCUUGCCUGACCCUUCUUCUCGCAGAGCUCCUCGGAGAAGCCGCACAGGUGCACGCGCGGCGCGUCGUACGCCGCCGCCAAUGAUUCAGCCGUUACCUUCCUCGAAGCAGGCGUGGGAGAACACCACAUAUUCCUGAGUACCACGAGCUUUCUGCCAAAGGGGAAGGCGGGCUUCGCCGCCGCCGCUGUUGAUGCAUCUCCAGCAGGGAGCGCCGCGCGCCGGCAGGUGGCGUGGAGUGUACGCGGGCGUGCUGGGGAAUUGAAGAAGAGGGCAAAUUUGGGCACGGGGAGAGUGAUUAGAGGUGGAAUUUUAGAGGAUUAACUUUCGGCCUUGGGCUGGCCCAUGUGUCAGCGCUGUGAGAUCGCUACGGAGGAUAGCUUGACGAAGCGAAGGACGGACGGUCUGACGACGGAACGCUUUCCUACUUUUUAAGUAGUAGAGAUUGACCGUUCCACUGAUUAAUUUCUAUUGCGUAUCUGAAUUUCAUGCAAAGUUGUUGCAUAGAUUACUUGCUCUUUAUGAUGUUGUGAUUUUUGUUACUCUGCUGCAAGAAGGUAUCAUUGCGUCAAUUUCUUGGAAAUAAUAGCAUCUUCAAAUGAAAUUCAUCUUUUGAUCACCUUUAAGUGAGAGGUAUUUCCCUGUAUUGAAAUAUAAUAGUUACAAACAUGGAGCUUUAAUUACUUCUUAUACUCCAGAAUUGCACACAUAUCUCUACCUAGGAUAGAUUACCCGGCCUGAUUUUUUGGUACACGUGCCAAGAAGGCUCUACUGUGUCCAUGUCUUGAGAGUCUUAGCAUAAUAAAAUGAAAUUCUUCAUUUAAUCACCCUUGAGUUAGCAUAAAUUUUAUACUACCAAUGGUUUAUAGUAUAGAAUUGCACAAAUAUCUCUACCUAGGAUAGCUUAUACAACCAAUGGUUUACUGUCAUUUUUACAGUAUAUUUCACCGAAGGACAUCUAUCUUCACAGGAAAAUUUAAUUGAGUAUUUUUUAUUUUACACAGAGAAUGAUGUAAGCUGCAUGUUAUUUGAAUCAUGCAAUGAAACAGAGGUUUAUUAUUUAGGUUUAUUUAUGGACUGAAAGAUCUUAUGAUUGGGGGAGCAGUAUAGCAAAUAAGGGGUUUCAAGGAUCAGAGUGGGUCAAGCCAUUCUCCAUAUGGGUUCCCUCGCGACCGCCCUUUGGGCAACUAUUCAUGCAAUUAUCAUUUCCCAUGUGUUGCUCAGGCGAUUAAAUCUAUUUCAGCUCAGUUCUAGAGUUACUCAAUGUUUCAUCUUCCUUUGGAUUUAAUAUCAUUUUUGCUCAUUUGCUUCCUGGCUGAUGCAUCUGUAGAAUGUUAGUGGCUAGAUUUGUUCUUAACCAUUUCGCCUUUCAAAGGAUGAAGCCCAACUUGCCCAAGUACCUCUCGAAGGCCUAGCAAGUGGCCAUGUCCUUCACAUGUACAAUAUAUACAUGUUACUACUUUGCUGAAACUCAACUUGCGGUUUUCUUUGCAUUCUUAAUACCUUUGGAAAUGUUUUUCUCAAAGAUUGCUUUAUCAAACUUGACUCAGCGAGCUGUCAUUGCUUUCAUGAUUUUAGGAAACUGAGUUGUUUUCCCUCCCUUUCAAGACGGAUGCCAUGAGUUUUUUCUUGAUAUUAAUCACAUGGAUUUUGGUGUAUCCAAUAAUAAGAAUGGAUUUGAUCACAUAGUCAGGGUUAUCCUUUUUUUUCUUGUUUUCUAAUGUACAUGAGUGUUUCGGCUGAUGUUCUCUUCAGAAAUAGAGGUCAACUGUAUGUUUGUUUUCCUUGUGGCAGUGGAGAUGAUGGGUAUUAUUGUUUCAAGAUUAUUUUGUUUUGAGAGAGUUAAAUGAUUACUUGAUGCUUUCAUAGUGGUGAAGAAGUUAGUACUGCUGUUCUGAUGCAGCUCACCGUUUUUUACUAUGCUCCUCAACGGUGGUAUGACUGGAGUUGUGGUGUCGAACUGCUGAUGUUAGUGGCCGUCAUAGUCUUCAUGGUUGCAUGGAAGCGUAGCUCGGCCAGGACCAAGCAGGCAACCCAGUAGACAAGCUGGCAGCGACAACAACAACAUGGACAGCGAGGUUGCAAGGCACCAGUCUGCUGUUUGAUGCGAACUAUUUUGACAUAUUUAGAGAGAUCGUAUAAGUUCUUUGCUUCUCGGUCCAAAUGUUCAUUGAAUAUCUAAAGCUUUGUAGUAAAUCUACAGAAAUAUUUCCUAGCGGCUGCCAAGUUUGGCUAAGCUGUAUAUACAAUUUACAAUUUACUUAAAAUAUGUUUUUU